UACAGAGGUCUCAAGCGUUGUUCGGAUUCAUUGGGCGUAAAGCGUGUGUAGGCGGCUUGGCAAGUUGGAUGUGAAAGCCCACGGCUCAACCGUGGAAGCGCAUCCAAAACUGCUUCGCUCGAGUCUCGGAGAGGAAGGUGGAAUGCUUGGUGUAGAGGUGAAAUUCGUAGAUAUCAAGCAGAACACCUGCGGCGAAGGCGGCCUUCUGGACGAUGACUGACGCUGAGACACGAAAGCGUGGGGAGCAAACAGG
rnacentral:rRNA from 1 species